CUUAGGUAAACAAUUACAAGAGAGGAUUUUUGGCGUGUACAUUCAGCGGCUUGUACUAUUCCACCGCACGCGGGUGCGCCAAGAUCCGUGCUAGCUUGUUCCGCGGCGCAAACCACACCCCGGAGAGAGCUCGCACACCCUACGCCGUGAUAGGCAUGCGACCUACUCCGUAAACGACGCAUCCCAUCCUGUCCUCCCCGAAUCCUGGACAUGACGAUAGCUUGGACAAGAUAGGCGGCGCGCCCAUGCCCCUGGCUUGACCGCCAGUGCCACAACCCGUGGGCCCCGCCGUCGGUGCGGGAAUGCAAGGCACAGACAAAGGACGCGAUUUGGGUGUCCGCCCAGACCACCCAAUUCCAGGAACGCGCGGAUCCAAAAAUCGCCGCCCGGCUCGCUGCCUGGGUGCUCCGCCGCGCUGGGUUUUGGAUUGAAGAUGAGGGCAGCCUUAUCCUCCGUCGAUGGUAUUUUUAUUUGAUUAAAUUUCACAAAAUCACAGUAUUUGUGGCAGUCGUGUCGAUGAACCACAGUUAACGGAAAACUGUUCACAGAACCACACAUUUUGAGUCAAGUUGUCUUAGUCAGCCCGAAAGCGAGUCGUUUGGCAGUUUUGCUUGAUUUCUUACACGUGGGCCCUCCUGUUGUACACCACGUCGGCCCCAACCUGACCUGACCCGUUAGCUCGUGAUCAAACCUCAGCCCUUUUCUCACUCCCGCAAGUUUUUGGGGCCGACGUGGCGUCUGACAGGUGGGCCCCACCGGUAAAAAGUCAAGCAAAACCGCGAAACCAUCCAGUUUUCGGGUUGACUUAGACAACUUGAAUCUAAAAGUGUGGUUCUGCGAAAGGUUUUUCGCUAACUGUGGUCCAGUGACACAACUACACUAAAAACCGUGGUUUUGCGAAAUUUACUCUUUUUUUGUGGGAGGAGGGUUUGGGGAGCUCCGCCACCGUGUUCUCCCGCUGGGCGCACUGCUUAUUCCCUUUUUUUCAGAUGGCCGGCAAGGUUGAUUGGCUUCUUGGCCCCCAACUUGGCCGGAGAUCCGGCGGUGGCUGGCGAGGAGGUGGUGCCAACAUUGGCUUCGUCGUGCUCUACACACUCACCUUCUUCUUCGCCAACCGCGCCUCGCCUCCGCCUCCGCGUCUUGAACCGGCCGUGGCAUCGGGACGAAUGAUAGGACGGUGGGGGAGAUUUGGUUUCCCGGGAUGGCCGGCGUCUAGAGUUUGCGGGGAGAUGUGGCCGGUUUUGUUAGAAUUUGGUGGGCCUGAUCAACCCAAACCCAAGUUUUAAUAAAUUCUGAAAAUCUCAAAGACCCAUUCAGGAGGUGGGAUGAGGGGAAAAUCAAUUACCACCCAUUCUUAUUCAAUCCAUCCACGCACACUGAGAUACAUACCUCAACAACCUCCAAGACUCGCUUGAUACACCUGCCACUGAAUUAUAGUCAAUCUAACACCCAUCCAUCCACACACAGGGAGACAAAUAGCUCAACACCCACACCCCACACGCGGCUGAACCCGCUUAACUUCCCACUCAUUCACCCCGGUGGGCGCAGGGGGGACUUGAGGGAGCCGGCGGCGCGGGGCCCUGACUGCGGCACGCGCGCGGCCUCGCCAAAGAUGAUUUCGCGACACACAAGAGCCUGUAGAGGAGCAGAGGGCCCGGAACAGGUGGGGAUUCAGAUCCCAACGAGAUUACGAGAGCAUCAUCGGGGGAGCCGGCGGAAGCGGAGAUGGGGAACGGCAACGGCGGAGGAGCGGAUCGGCAAGAGAGAGAGAGGAGGGGGUUUAGGGUCGGCGGGAUAAUCCAAAUUUCCCUCCACUCAAUCCCCCCCCCCCCCGCCUGGGCGUCAAGUCCCGCCAUUUACCCCCACCGACACCACCUCAAAGCGCCUCGCCGACACCGCCACCGCUCCAUGAAAAACCAUGGCAUCGGAGAGGUAUGCAAUGCCUCGUUGCACACUGGCCGGCGAUGCAGCGGCGGAAAAACCCAAGGAAAAGGAGCGGCCGCUUGGGAUGAGCAACGCCGACUGGGCGGCGGAUGUUACCCGCCACAACGUCGAGAGCGCCUCCCGCCAUGAACGGGAGAGGAGGGGCAAGGAGAGGAACGCCGACCUGGCCCGGCAGAUGGAGGUGCAGAGGGCCGCGGCCUCGGCCUCGGCGCAGAUGACUGGCAUUCCGGUGCUGCGGCCACCCUCCGCCAAGCACUGGAGCAGCUGCAGCCCAGCACUUUAAGCUGGGGAUAUGGCAUUCUUCUUUGAGCUUGUGCUGAUUUAGUACUUGAUGCUUAUAUACCCACAUCAAUGACUGCAGCAGCAUCUGUGUACUAAGCACGGUGCACCCUCGACGGGUUGCGCGGGGCAGCUGGUGAGCCUGGACUCAAGAGCAGCAGCGAGCAAGACGAAAGUGCUGUAUAACAAGUACACAAAUCCCAAACCUGGCGACGUGUCGCUCUACUACGGCGAGCAAGACGAAGGUGCUCGAGCCCGGCGCCCGACUCAAGACUUUCAGUCCCACCCAACAAAACAUAGUAUGUGAGCUCGAGCUUGGGCAGACCCCAUACGACUGACCUUAUCUCAUUGUUGGAGUAUCCAGAGCUAAGUUGGAGGACCUAAAGAAGCAACUGUUCAAGAAGCACAUCAUUGACCUGGUGAUUGCGUAUGUCUAUAUGUAAUUGAGUUCCAAAAAAGAGGUCUCGCACAUGCUCCCUUUACUUUGUGUUGAUCAUGGGUCCAGAUAGUGUCGUAGCCAGGAAUUUGAGUCAGCGUUGCCCAAUAACAGAAUUUUUUUUGGCUACAAUAGAAUUUACAUCUAUCUGCAU